rnacentral:tRNA from 1 species
GGGCUGAUGGUCCAACGGGAAGACGCCAGGCUGGCAGUCUGGAAAUCCGGGUUCAACUCCCGGUCGGUCCA